UCAGCUUUGGCACAGUAGGUAGUGCGUCAGUCUCCCAAGCUGAAGGUCCUCAUGAGUUCAAUCCUCAGAAGGAGGG
rnacentral:tRNA from 1 species